GAUGAACGCUGGCGGCGUGCCUAAUACAUGCAAGUCGAGCGAACGGACGAGAAGCUUGCUUCUCUGAUGUUAGCGGCGGACGGGUGAGUAACACGUGGAUAACCUACCUAUAAGACUGGGAUAACUUCGGGAAACCGGAGCUAAUACCGGAUAAUAUUUUGAACCGCAUGGUUCAAAAGUGAAAGACGGUCUUGCUGUCACUUAUAGAUGGAUCCGCGCUGCAUUAGCUAGUUGGUAAGGUAACGGCUUACCAAGGCAACGAUGCAUAGCCGACCUGAGAGGGUGAUCGGCCACACUGGAACUGAGACACGGUCCAGACUCCUACGGGAGGCAGCAGUAGGGAAUCUUCCGCAAUGGGCGAAAGCCUGAUGGAGCAACGCCGCGUGAGUGAUGAAGGUCUUCGGAUCGUAAAACUCUGUUAUUAGGGAAGAACAAAUGUGUAAGUAACUGUGCACAUCUUGACGGUACCUAAUCAGAAAGCCACGGCUAACUACGUG
rnacentral:rRNA from 1 species